UACGAAGGGGGCUAGCGUUGUUCGGAAUUACUGGGCGUAAAGCGCACGUAGGCGGAUAUUUAAGUCAGGGGUGAAAUCCCAGAGCUCAACUCUGAACUGCCUUUGAUACUGGGUAUCUCGAGUAUGGAAGAGGUGAGUGGAAUUCCGAGUGUAGAGGUGAAAUUCGUAGAUAUUCGGAGGAACACCAGUGGCGAAGGCGGCUCACUGGUCCAUUACUGACGCUGAGGUGCGAAAGCGUGGGGAGCAAACAGG
rnacentral:rRNA from 1 species